rnacentral:rRNA from 1 species
AGAGUUUGAUCCUGGCUCAGAACGAACGCUGGCGGCAGGCCUAACACAUGCAAGUCGAACGCUCCGCAAGGGGAGUGGCAGACGGGUGAGUAACACGUGGGAAUCUUCCUAUUGGUAUGGAAUAGCUCAGGGAAAUUUGGGGUAAUACCGUAUAAGCCCGAGAGGGGAAAGAUUUAUCGCCAAUAGAUGAGCCCGCGUCUGAUUAGCUAGUUGGUGAGGUAAUGGCUCACCAAGGCGACGAUCAGUAGCUGGUCUGAGAGGAUGAUCAGCCACACUGGGACUGAGACACGGCCCAGGCUCCUACGGGAGGCAGCAGUGGGGAAUAUUGGACAAUGGGCGCAAGCCUGAUCCAGCCAUGCCGCGUGAGUGACGAAGGUCUUCGGAUUGUAAAGCUCUUUUGGCGGGGACGAUAAUGACGGUACCCGCAGAAUAAGCCCCGGCUAACUUCGUGCCAGCAGCCGCGGUAAUACGAAGGGGGCUAGCGUUGUUCGGAAUCACUGGGCGUAAAGCGCACGUAGGCGGAUUUGUUAGUCAGGGGUGAAAUCCCGGGGCUCAACCUCGGAACUGCCUCUGAUACUGCAGAUCUCGAGUCCGAUAGAGGUGAGUGGAAUUCCUAGUGUAGAGGUGAAAUUCGUAGAUAUUAGGAAGAACACCAGUGGCGAAGGCGGCUCACUGGAUCGGUACUGACGCUGGGGUGCGAAAGCGUGGGGAGCAAACAGGAUUAGAUACCCUGGUAGUCC